rnacentral:lncRNA from 1 species
UUUCCUUUCUCCACUGGCUUUCCUUCAACCACAAUAAGGCUUCUCAGACAGCUAGAGUUUCCGCAAUCAACACUGAAGAAGCUCGGAUUUGCUUGGCAAAUCCGUCGACGAUGGUUCCUCAUUCAUUUCUGCAUAUUCCGGCCACCGAUCUCUCCAUCGUCAAACUGCACCAAGAGAUGUCAAUGUUUAGCUUGAGGGUGUUCGACAGCAGCAGGCUCCAUUGUGUCUGUCCCAGCAUGGGUCUCGUCUCUCCUUUUGUCUCCUUGAGGUGCCAUUUCGCAUAAAUAUGGACCAUGGAGGUGGCUUAUUCGAUGAUGGAUCUCACGUAUGGCCUUCUCACUAAAAAAUCAGAGUAUUCCUUGCCUUCCAGAUCUGUCAUAGGACCCCCCAAAUAGUGCUUUCGACUUUGGGUUCAUAUUUCAAGUGAGGUUCACAAACCCAUUUGUCAAUUCUAGUGAUUGUUGUAAGGGAGGUGUGCGCUUCCAACCUGGGGUCUAACUAGAUUUCUUUUGUCCAAUCGCAUAUCAUAAAGAGCUGUUUCACUAUCUCUGGAACUUGACCACAUAGUGAGCAAGUUGAUUCAGGUAUCAUCAUUCUCCUAUGUAGAUUUUCUUUUGUUGGGAGUGCGUUGUUGCAAAUACUCCAUAGCAGGAGUCGAACUUUUGGAAAGAUUUGUAAUUUCAAGACGUUAUGCUAUAGAAUUUUAG